rnacentral:siRNA from 1 species
UGGGUUCCUAAUGUAAUAAGCUA